rnacentral:rRNA from 1 species
UUCCAGACUCCUACGGGAGGCAGCAGUGAGGAAUAUUGGUCAAUGGGCGGGAGCCUGAACCAGCCAAGUCGCGUGAGGGAAGACGGUCCUAUGGAUUGUAAACCUCUUUUGUCGGGGAGCAAAGAGAUCACGUGUGGUCAAAAGCGAGAGUACCCGAAGAAAAAGCAUCGGCUAACUCCGUGCCAGCAGCCGCGGUAAUACGGAGGAUGCGAGCGUUAUCCGGAUUUAUUGGGUUUAAAGGGUGCGUAGGCGGAGUGUCAAGUCAGCGGUAAAAUUUCGGGGCUCAACCCCGUCGUGCCGUUGAAACUGACGCCCUUGAGUGAGUGAGAAGUAAGCGGAAUGCGUGGUGUAGCGGUGAAAUGCAUAGAUAUCACGCAGAACGCCGAUUGCGAAGGCAGCUUACCGGCGCUCAACUGACGCUCAUGCACGAAAGCGUGGGUAUCGAACAGGAUUAGAUACCCUUGUACCA